rnacentral:tRNA from 1 species
GGGGUUGUGGCUCAGUGGUAGAGUGUUCAUCUAGCAUGUGAGAGGCCCUGGAUUCAAUCCUCAGCACCACA